rnacentral:rRNA from 1 species
AGCCCCCCUCAAGAUGAGAUUUCCCAUCGCGUCAAGCGAGUAAGAUCCCUUGAAGAUGACAAGGUAGAUAGGUCCGAGGUGGAAGCGUGGUGACACGUGUAGCUGACGGAUACUAAUCGAUCGAGGACUUAACUAAG